rnacentral:rRNA from 1 species
UGGGGAAUUUUGGACAAUGGGCGAAAGCCUGAUCCAGCAAUGCCGCGUGUGUGAAGAAGGCCUUCGGGUUGUAAAACACUUUUGUCCGGAAAGAAAUCCUUGGCUCUAAUACAGUCGGGGGAUGACGGUACCGGAAGAAUAAGCACCGGCUAACUACGUGCCAGCAGCCGCGGUAAUACGUAGGGUGCAAGCGUUAAUCGGAAUUACUGGGCGUAAAGCGUGCGCAGGCGGUUUGCUAAGACCGAUGUGAAAUCCCCGGGCUCAACCUGGGAACUGCAUUGGUGACUGGCAGGCUAGAGUAUGGCAGAGGGGGGUAGAAUUCCACGUGUAGCAGUGAAAUGCGUAGAGAUGUGGAGGAAUACCGAUGGCGAAGGCAGCCCCCUGGGCCAAUACUGACGCUCAUGUACGAAAGCGUGGGGAGCAAACAGGAUUAGAUACCCUGGUAGUCCACGCCCUAAACGAUGUCAACUAGUUGUUGGGGAUUCAUUUCCUUAGUAACGUAGCUAACGCGU